AUGAACGCUGGCGGCGUGCCUAAUACAUGCAAGUCGAGCGAACAGACGAGGAGCUUGCUCAUCUGACGUUAGCGGCGGACGGGUGAGUAACACGUGGAUAACCUACCUAUAAGACUGGGAUAACUUCGGGAAACCGGAGCUAAUACCGGAUAACAUGUUGAACCGCAUGGUUUAACAGUGAAAGACGGUCUUGCUGUCACUUAUAGAUGGAUCCGCGCCGCAUUAGCUAGUUGGUAAGGUAACGGCUUACCAAGGCAACGAUGCGUAGCCGACCUGAGAGGGUGAUCGGCCACACUGGAACUGAGACACGGUCCAGACUCCUACGGGAGGCAGCAGUAGGGAAUCUUCCGCAAUGGGCGAAAGCCUGACGGAGCAACGCCGCGUGAGUGAAGAAGGUCUUCGGAUCGUAAAACUCUGUUAUUAGGGAAGAACAAAUGUGUAAGUAACUAUGCACGUCUUGACGGUACCUAAUCAGAAAGCCACGGCUAACUACGUG
rnacentral:rRNA from 1 species